GGAAUAUAAGAAUCCGUCUCUUAAUUUUUAACUAAAAAAAGGUAAGAAUCGGUUCUUAAAUAAGAGUUUUAAGAGCCGGUUCUUAACUUUUUUAGUUAAAAGUUAAGAUACGGAUUCUUAUAUUCC
rfam:Brassica oleracea var. oleracea cultivar TO1000 chromosome C5, whole genome shotgun sequence